UACGUAGGUGGCAAGCGUUGUCCGGAAUUAUUGGGCGUAAAGAGCUCGUAGGCGGUCUGUCGCGUCGGAUGUGAAAACUCGGGGCUCAACCCCGAGCCUGCAUUCGAUACGGGCAGACUAGAGUUCGGUAGGGGAGACUGGAAUUCCUGGUGUAGCGGUGAAAUGCGCAGAUAUCAGGAGGAACACCGGUGGCGAAGGCGGGUCUCUGGGCCGAUACUGACGCUGAGGAGCGAAAGCGUGGGGAGCGAACAGG
rnacentral:rRNA from 1 species